rnacentral:rRNA from 1 species
AUGGGUUCGUCAAGCUCCACCUGCAAACGCCACCCGGCCCAUCCGGAACACAAGCUGACGCUGGAGACCCCCGAGAGGAGGAAGUUCACGUGUGAUGGCUGCCAUAAGAAGGGCGGGGGCGAGAGGUACAGGUGCCAGAGUUGCAACUUCAACCUGCACAAGCAGUGCGCCUUGCGCGAAGGGACCAAGAUUGUGCACCCGUCGCUCAAGAACAUCACGAUAAAGCUCCGGUUCCAAGUCCCCAGAUCCGAGGGCGCCAGGCUUGUAUGUGACGCCUGCCGUGGCACCGUGCGGGGGUUCCACUACCACAGCAGCAAGCUCUGCCUCCACCCAUGCUGCGUGUAUCCACCGGAGGAGAAUGAUGGUGGCGCCGAGGGCCAACUCAGGCAGAUAUGCCAGACCAUUGCGCCUGCCGUAUUGUCUCUCAUCCUCACUGCGGCUACUGGAGAUCCGUCGCCGAUAAUUGGUUUGUUCCCUUGCUUUGGAGGCUCUGGGUAG